CGAAAGAUUGAUCUAGUUACUUAUUAGGAUGAUAUUUAAAUAUAUAAAUAAAAAUAAUAUAAAUAAAUUGAUUAAAAAUAAAAUCCAUAUAUAAUUUAAAUAAUGAUUUAAAAUAACCUAUAUUAUAGUUAAAUAUAAUAAAUAGGUGUAUUCAGUAUAUAUAUAUUUAUAUAUAUAUAAAGGAUAUAUAUAAUAGUCUUAACAAAUAAUUGUGCCAGCAGUUGCGGUUAUACAAUGAAGGCUAGCAUUAAUCAUAAUGGUUUAAAGGAUUCGUAGAAUGUAUAUUAUUUAAUAAUAUAUAGAGUUAAUAUAAUAUUAAUUAAAGAAUUAUAAUAGUAAGGAUGAAAUAAUAAUAAUAAUUAUAAGACUGGUAUAUAUGAAAAUAUUAAUUAAUAAUUAACUGACAUUGAGGAAUGAAAACUAAAGUAGCAAAACAGAUUCGAUACCUGUGUAGUUUUAGUAGUAAACGAUGAAUAUAAUUAUUUAUUUAAAUAUAAUAAAUAAAUAAUAAAUGAAAAUAAAAAUAUUCCACCUGAAGAGUAUAUUAGCAAUAAUGAAACUCAAGACAAUAGACGGUUACAGACUUAAGUAGUGG
rnacentral:rRNA from 1 species